rnacentral:rRNA from 1 species
GAUGAACGCUGGCGGCGUGCCUAAUACAUGCAAGUCGAGCGAACAGACGAGGAGCUUGCUCCUCUGACGUUAGCGGCGCACGGGUGAGUAACACGUGGAUAACCUCCCUAUCAGACUGGGAUAACUUCGGGACACCGGAGCUAAUACCGUAUAAUCUAUUGAACCGCAUGGUUCAAUAGUGAAAUACGGUUUUGCUGUCACUUCUAGAUGGUUCCGGGCCGCAUUAGCUAGUUGUUAAGUUAACGGCUUACCAAGGCAACGAUGCGUAACCGACGUGAGAGAGUGAUAGGCGACACUGGAAGUGAGACAGGGUCCAGACUCCUAAGGGAGGCAGCAGUAGGGAAUGUUACGCAAUGGGCGAAAGCAUGACGGAGCAACGCCGCGUGAGAGAUGAAGGUCUUCGGAUCGUAAAACUCUGUUAUUAGGGAAGAACAAAUGUGUAAGUAACUAUGCACGUCUUGACGGUACCUAAUCAGAAAGCAACGGCUAACUACGUG